UUCACUUUUCAAUAUUUUGAAGGAUUUCUUUUUCAAUUUUUUGUGGACAUAGUUUAUAAUUUGUUAAAAAAAUGAUGAAGUAAAUUGGGAAAACCUUGGCGGUGCACUUUGUAAAUUCAUGUGGUUCACUUAGCUUCGUCUAUGCGGUCCACUCUCGAUCAUAGAAAAAAGAUAGAAAAAGGGCAAAGAGAAAUCAUGUAGUUCCCUUGUCAUUUCAUGUAGUACGGUUUUCGUCUGAGAGCAGUGUGAUUUUCUUUCUAAUAUAAUGCAGUUCAAUUCAUCAAUUCAUCAAGAGUGUUGUUGUUCAAUUUCGGAUGUGUUGCAGUUCACUUACCCCCCAAGUGUGAAGUGCAAAUGAAAAUCUUAAGGAAAUGCCAAAAAGAGUAAUGCGGUACACUUUUGAUAUUGUUGCGGUUCACUUGCCCUCGUCUCUGUGGUCCACUCUCGUUCAUAAAAAAGUUAGGAACAAAUCAAAAAGAAAAUCAUGUAGUUUACUUGACCGCGUGGAAAAUUUACAUUUGACAACAAAAUAAAAAUGAAGUUCGCUUGCACGUCUGAUGCAGUACACAUGUCGAUUUUGGUGUCGCGAAAAACAGAGUGUCCGCAUUUUGGUAAAAUCGAAACAACUCUUAAACCGUAAAGAAUUAGAGAGAGUGUUCAACAUGAAAAAGUUGCGCCUUAUCAAUAUCUAUUCGACGGUGUAUCAUUUGAAUCAUUUCGACAAGCGGUUUGUAAAAAUUUCAAGAAAAAAAGGCCGCUGUCACUCAUCGUCCGGCGUACGAUUUUCGAAAUUAACCAAAAACCGUAAGGAAUCUCAAAAACAUUUCUACAUGUGAAAGGUGCGCCUUGUCUGUAGCUUUCCAAUGGCGUAUCACACGCCUCGUUUCGACAAACAUUUCAAAAACUGGAGUUAAAACAGUAUAAAAAAUUGCAAAAAUUUCAAAAAACCGAAUUCCGCAAUUUAGUAAAUUUAAAACUGCUCUUAAACCGUAACGAAUUAGAGAAAAUAAUAGAUAUGAAAAAGAUGCGCCUUGAUGAUAUGUUUCUAACGGUGUAUCAUUUGCUUCAUUCCGAUGAGCGGUUUAGAAAUAAAAUGCGAAAAAUGGUCGCUGCCACUUGUCUUGGGCCGCUCUAUUUUCAAAACAGCUCUCAAACCGUGUGGAAUCUCAAAAAUUGUUCAACAUGAUGAAGUAGCGCCUAAUCCAUAGCUUUUCAACGGUAUAUUACACGCCUUGUUCCGCCAAACGGUUAAAAAACUAGAGCGAAAAAGAUACCAAAAAACACUGCGUGCAGUUUUUUCCGACGCGAAGUUCACUACUAUAUGUAUUGUAGUACCUUUGCUACAGAAAGUGCAGUGCCCUCACAUUGAGCGUGCAGUAUAUAUAAAAAGGAAAACCGCAUAUAAAAAGGGUGGGUCUAAUAAUACCCCUUAAGAUUCUUAUUAUGCUAACACUUUCUUAUUCUGCUAACACCCUAACCGAACGCACGAACUAAAAAAAAAGGAAAACCGCACAUCCACCCCGCACUCCCCCCACUCCUACCUACCUUCUUCCCCUCCCCACGCCAAACCUCUCGCCUCUAUCUUGGCCGGUGCCGCCGCGCCCCACCCCACCUCGGCGAGCCCUGAGAGGUUGCGCAUCCCGCCGCCCCGUCCGGACACAGCACGCCCCGCCAACCCCCCGGCGCCCCACCAAGCCCUGCCACCUCCCUCCGGUUCUAGCCAGCGCAACCGACGCCGCCCCCACCCCACCAGCUUCUUCCCUCGUCGGUGCCGCCCCACCCCACCCAGCUUCUUCCCUCGACGGCGCCGCCCCACCCUCAUCCGGCUUCAUCCACCGCCGGUGCCGUCCCACCCGCAUCCGGCUUCCUCGACCGCCGGUGCCGCCGCGCCAGCAUCCGGCGUCAUCCACCGCCGGCGCCGCCGCGCACCCGGCCAUGGGCCACACGGGGAGGGACCUCCUCAACUCCCGUGCUUCUGUCCUUGCGCCGCCCCAUGCGUACCUAACAUUCACCGCCGCACUAGGCGCAACUGCCGCUCCUUUGCCUCCCGUCCCCAGCCAAGAUCUGCUUCCAUGGCGACUGGAUCCGUUCUUCCGCGCGCCGCCACUUCGUCUCUAGAGCUGCAGCUUCCGCUGCUCGGCCACACAAUGGGGAUCUGCCCCUCACGACAACGACGCCAAUGCAGUUCUCCUCACGCACCCCCAGACUCCUGCCUCCACUGGAUCGAUCCUCCCUCUUGCCGGUGCAUGUCGAUGCCCUCCAUGGGAUUCUCCUCUGCCUCCCUCUUGGCCUCCGCAGUACGAACAGCGACAUCUUGAAUCUAUCCAUGGACGACUGCUGCUUCCACCUCUCGGCCAAAUCCGACGCGUCCAGGCUCCCUUCCAUCUCACUACUUUGGCCUGUGCAAUUCGGCCGGCGAGUCCGUGCAGUUCGUGGAUGACGGGAUUGCAGCUCCAGGCUCCCCGACUCCCUGUUGCCUCGAUCGAGGGGACGCCUUGGCCUCCUCCUUUCCUCCCCCUCCUCUGCUCCUCUCCCUAUGAUUCUCCACUGACAGCAAGCAGUCCAGGCUGCUCCCUAAUGCAGGUCAGUUGGGUCUUCCUCUCCGGGAGUUUUGUCGCUCCGCUGGAGCAGUCCACACAGCAGGCACACGUGGCCAUCGUCUGACUCCCCGUGCAGUACACUUUUGUGCUGUGAGCCCACUGCUCCCCCCAUGCCUUGCCAACGAACCGGCCAUCCUCUUUGCGCCUUGCGAGUGCCCAGUGCGUGAGGAGCGCGGCGGCGGACUCCCUAACCUCCUUCAAGAACAGAUCCGGCCUUCCCCUCGGCCCUUCUCUGACUCUGUGUCGUGGCCACACUGCACGCGCAGUCCACGCCCCAAUGGCGUGCCCCCAUGCUCCCGUGUGCUGCCCCGACGACGGGCCGUCACCCGAUUCAACAGGAGCGUCGCUCCUCCGCAUGCAGUCCCCAAACGCCGUUCUUGCAGUCUGUCGCUACCCUCUGUAUCAAGCAAUCCGCUGAGCUGGAGCUGAAGAUCAACGGCCGCCCUGUGCAUUCACUAUCAGAUCCAUGGCGCUGGCCGUGCUUUCUCCUGCUGCUCUGUGUGAGGUGAGGACGGGUUCUGCCGCGCCGGGAACCAGGGUGUGGCGCGACACCGGCUAAGAUGCGUGCGGUGGUUCUCUUCUUCCCCAACAACAGGAAGCUGUGGUGUGGCUACGGCAUAGUUAAAGUUCAGGAUAUUGUUAUUGCUUUCUCAAAUUUUGCUUGGGAGCAGUUCGGCGAGCGCGGAGGUGCAGCUUCGCCAGCGUAAGAUGCGGUUCUUUGCACAUGUAUAUGCAGAUCGUGGGACACCCAGCAACAACUUCAGCAACGGCUUGGUCUUCAACGAGCACCCCCCUCACGUCUCUAUAGUGGAGUAGGCAGUACACUUUGCAUCUCGUAGUACGAACCCCAGCGUGUCGUGGUGCAGUCAACCACUACGCAGAGCCUUGAAAUUUGUUUUUGCGCCAUUUAUAGUUCUCUCAAUGUGUAGAAGAAAAUUAUUUCACUUUUUUGAAGUCCUCUUUGUUCUUGGUUGUGGCACGCAAAAAAAGGUGAUGCAGUUUGCUCGGUUCGUAAUUGCAUUUUUGGGGGCUCUUUUCCUAUAAAAAUGUUGAGACCUGAUGUUACAUUACAAAAUAAAGAACACACGUGGUUCACUUAUUAUGUAAAAACAUGUUCAUUUGUAAAUGAUGCUUGUGGUA